rnacentral:lncRNA from 1 species
GGGAGUGAAGCCCAACAAAUGGAGGUGCAUCCAACACAUUUGAAGACAGCUGCGGACCCAUGAGCAGGGAAGGUGACGCUCCAGCAAGCAAGCACCAGCCACACACGGUGCAGGAGUUUUUGGAAGCAAAGGGUAAUUUAAUUGAAAGGUGUGUGCAACCAGCAAAAGAGGGGACAACACACACGAAACCCUAGGGAAUAAGUGGGACUAGCCGCCACUUACUCUAGGAAUCACUUUCCAAUUUCACUCUCUGCAUUUUUUUGGGUGAUUAAAAGAAAGCCGCC